rnacentral:rRNA from 1 species
GACGAACGCUGGCGGCGUGCCUAAUACAUGCAAGUCGAACGCACGAAGUUGAAGAGCUUGCUCUUUAACCAAGUGAGUGGCGGACGGGUGAGUAACACGUGGGUAACCUACCCAUUAGAGGGGGAUAACAUUCGGAAACGGAUGCUAAUACCGCAUAGUUUCAGGAAUCGCAUGAUUCGUGAAGGAAAGGUGGCUUCGGCUACCACUAAUGGAUGGACCCGCGGCGUAUUAGCUAGUUGGUGAGGUAAUGGCUCACCAAGGCAAUGAUACGUAGCCGACCUGAGAGGGUGAUCGGCCACACUGGGACUGAGACACGGCCCAGACUCCUACGGGAGGCAGCAGUAGGGAAUCUUCCGCAAUGGACGAAAGUCUGACGGAGCAACGCCGCGUGAGUGAAGAAGGUUUUCGGAUCGUAAAACUCUGUUGUUAAAGAAGAACAAGGAUGAGAGUAACUGCUCAUCCCCUGACGGUAUUUAACCAGAAAGCCACGGCUAACUACGUGCCAGCAGCCGCGGUAAUACGUAGGUGGCAAGCGUUGUCCGGAUUUAUUGGGCGUAAAGCGAGCGCAGGCGGUUCUUUAAGUCUGAUGUGAAAGCCCCCGGCUCAACCGGGGAGGGUCAUUGGAAACUGGAGAACUUGAGUGCAGAAGAGGAGAGUGGAAUUCCACGUGUAGCGGUGAAAUGCGUAGAUAUGUGGAGGAACACCAGUGGCGAAGGCGACUCUCUGGUCUGUAACUGACGCUGAGGCUCGAAAGCGUGGGGAGCAAACAGG